rnacentral:rRNA from 1 species
AGCGAACGUUUGCGGCGGGCCUAACACAUGCAAGUCGAACGGGCUAGCAAUAGUCAGUGGCGCACGGGUGCGUAACACGUGGGUAAUCAACCCUUCAGCUCGGGAUAACGCCUUGAAAGGGGCGCUAAUACCGGGAUACGACGCGAGGAGCUUCGGCUGCUUGCGGGAAAGAUUCGCAAGGAUCUCUGAAGGACGAGCCUGCGGCCCAUCAGCUAGUUGGUGAGGUAAGAGCUCACCAAGGCGAAGACGGGUAGCUGGUCUGAGAGGAUGAUCAGCCACACUGGACCUGAGACACGGUCCAGACUCCUACGGGAGGCAGCAGUGGGGAAUAUUGCGCAAUGGGCGAAAGCCUGACGCAGCCACGCCGCGUGAGCGAUGAAGGCCUUGGUCGUAAGGACUCUG